CUACGGUCAAAUUACGUUGAAAACACCGCUUCUCGUUCGAUCAACGAAGUUAAGCGGCGUCGAGACCAGUUGAUAAUAAGAUGGGUGAUCACCUAGUACCACGGGGUACUGUAA